rnacentral:rRNA from 1 species
UAAUACCUGAUAAGCCCACGGGGUCUUCGGACUCUGCGGGAAAAGGGGGGGACCUUCGGGCCUUCUGUCAUCGGAUGAGUCCGCGUACCAUUGGCUAGUUGGCGGUGUAAGAGACCACCAAGGCGACGAUGGUUAGCUGGUCUGAGAGGAAGAUCAGCCACACUGGAACUGAGACACGGUCCAGACCCCUACGGGAGGCAGCAGUGGGGAAUUUUGCGCAAUGGGGGAAACCCUGACGCAGCAACGCCGCGUGAGUGAUGAAGGCCUUCGGGUCGUAAAGCUCUGUCAGAGGGAAAGAAAUGUAUUGUGGCUAAUAUCCACGAUACUUGACGGUACCCUCAAAGGAAGCACCGGCUAACUCCGUGCCAGCAGCCGCGGUAAUACGGAGGGUGCAAGCGUUGUUCGGAUUUAUUGGGCGUAAAGCGCGUGUAGGCGGUCUUCUAAGUCUGAUGUGAAAGCCCCGGGCUCAACCUGGGAAGUGCAUUGGAUACUGGGAGACUUGAGUACGGGAGAGGGUAGUGGAAUUCCCAGUGUAGGAGUGAAAUCCGUAGAUAUUGGGAGGAACACCGGUGGCGAAGGCGGCUGCCUGGACCGAUACUGACGCUGAGACGCGAAAGCGUGGGGAGCAAACAGGAUUAGAUACCCUGGUAGUCCACGCCGUAAACGAUGAGUACUAGGUGUCGCGGGUA